rnacentral:rRNA from 1 species
CCUACGGGAGGCAGCAGUGGGGAAUAUUGGACAAUGGGGGCAACCCUGAUCCAGCAAUUCUGUGUGCACGAAGACGGUUUUCGGAUUGUAAAGUGCUUUCAGCAGGGAAGAAGGAAGUGACGGUACCUGCAGAAGAAGCGACGGCUAAAUACGUGCCAGCAGCCGCGGUAAUACGUAUGUCGCGAGCGUUAUCCGGAAUUAUUGGGCAUAAAGGGCAUCUAGGCGGCCUUUCAAGUCAGGGGUGAAAACCUGCGGCUCAACCGCAGGCCUGCCUUUGAAACUGAUAGGCUGGAGUACCGGAGAGGUGGACGGAACUGCACGAGUAGAGGUGAAAUUCGUAGAUAUGUGCAGGAAUGCCGAUGAUGAAGAUAGUUCACUGGACGGUAACUGACGCUGAAGUGCGAAAGCCGGGGGAGCGAACAGGAUUAGAUACCCCAGU